CCCCCCUCCAAGGCCGUACGGUGUGCUGUAAACAACACCUGACGUCUGGAAACACACAUGCCGUACCACCAUCGUUCUGUGCACCUAACUGCAUUUGCGCCAGUGUCUCUGUGAGCAGGGCGCGGAGCCACUUUGACUGUCCAUAAACGUCGUGAGCACACGAAGGCAAAAUAGUGUAUAAGCUCCAAAUGUUCAGCUUUAUAUGUGCAGAAGGCAUUUGGGGCGACUUAUGGCCGAAGUAAUGAACCAGUAC
rnacentral:lncRNA from 1 species